UGGGGAAUUUUGGACAAUGGGCGAAAGCCUGAUCCAGCCAUGCCGCGUGAGUGAAGAAGGCCUUCGGGUUGUAAAGCUCUUUCAGACGGAAAGAAAUCUUCUGGGCUAAUACCCUGGGAGGAUGACGGUACCGUAAGAAGAAGCACCGGCUAACUACGUGCCAGCAGCCGCGGUAAUACGUAGGGUGCGAGCGUUAAUCGGAAUUACUGGGCGUAAAGCGUGCGCAGGCGGUGAUGUAAGACAGAUGUGAAAUCCCCGGGCUCAACCUGGGAACUGCGUUUGUGACUGCAUCACUCGAGUACGGCAGAGGGAGGUGGAAUUCCGCGUGUAGCAGUGAAAUGCGUAGAGAUGCGGAGGAACACCGAUGGCGAAGGCAGCCUCCUGGGCCAGUACUGACGCUCAUGCACGAAAGCGUGGGGAGCAAACAGG
rnacentral:rRNA from 2 species